AGACCCGAAACCCGGUGAUCUAGCCAUGGGCAGGUUGAAGGUUGGGUAACACUAACUGGAGGACCGAACCGACUAAUGUUGAAAAAUUAGCGGAUGACCUGUGGCUGGGGGUGAAAGGCCAAUCAAACCGGGAGAUAGCUGGUUCUCCCCGAAAGCUAUUUAGGUAGCGCCUCGUGAAUUCAUCUCCGGGGGUAGAGCACUGUUUCGGCUAGGGGGCCAUCCCGGCUUACCAACCCGAUGCAAACUGCGAAUACCGGAGAAUGUUAUCACGGGAGACACACGGCGGGUGCUAACGUCCGUCGUGAAGAGGGAAACAACCCAGACCGCCAGCUAAGGUCCCAAAGUCAUGGUUAAGUGGGAAACGAUGUGGGAAGGCCCAGACAGCCAGGAUGUUGGCUUAGAAGCAGCCAUCAUUUAAAGAAAGCGUAAUAGCUCACUGGUCGAGUCGGCCUGCGCGGAAGAUGUAACGGGGCUAAACCAUGCACCGAAGCUGCGGCAGCGACACUCAGGUGUUGUUGGGUAGGGGAGCGUUCUGUAAGCCUGCGAAGGUGGCCUGUGAGGGUUGCUGGAGGUAUCAGAAGUGCGAAUGCUGACAUAAGUAACGAUAAAGCGGGUGAAAAGCCCGCUCGCCGGAAGACCAAGGGUUCCUGUCCAACGUUAAUC
rnacentral:rRNA from 1 species